ACGACUCUCGGCAACGGAUAUCUCGGCUCACGCAUCGAUGAAGAACGUAGCAAAAUGCGAUACUUGGUGUGAAUUGCAGAAUCCCGUGAACCAUCGAGUUUUUGAACGCAAGUUGCGCCCGAAGCCAUUUGGUUGAGGGCACGCCUGCCUGGGCGUCACGC
rnacentral:rRNA from 2 species